rnacentral:lncRNA from 1 species
UGCCUUUCAUUUCAAGUUGCAUUAAUUGAGUGCAAAAGAGAAACAUAUAUACACGAAAUGAAAUAACAAACUCCUGGCUAUCAACCAGCUGCACAUGCCUUUGCCUCUAUACAACACACCACGACACCUCAGCAGAAGCAAAACAGAAAAACUAACUACUAACUACAAACUAAUUUCUUCUACUUUGUACAAAGAAAAACGACUAGCCAUUUUCCAAUUUCCUGCUUUCUUUUGCAUCAGCUGUAGUAUGAACCAUCUCUUCAUCAUCAUUGCUUGACACUUUAUGCUGCAAUAUCCCCCACAAGAUGAAGAACGGAUAUUAACAUUUCCCAUCUUGAAAAGGUGAAUGUUAAAAAUGCGAGAAGACAAUAACUUUGUAAAAAUACCAGCCAACUGGAAUUAAGUACUUAUAUAAGUUGUGCAAAUGGUCCCUUCUUGUAUUUUGUUAUAGAUUAAGUGACAACCGAGUUCAAUAUGCUUCAUACGUUUAUGAAAUACUAGAUUAGCAGCAAUGUGUAAGGUUGUUUGGUUGUCGCAAUGAAGAAUAGCAACUUAUGGGUGAAGGACUUGAAGGUCAGACAAAAUAUAACUUAGCCAAGUGAGCUCGGAACAUGUGGCUGACAUUGCUCGAUAUUCAGCCUCAAUUGUGUUAAGACUUGAAGUUCAUCUUAAUAAGGUCAACCUUAUUAAGUGGAGAAGUCCAAAAUCUUUAUAAAUUGGUAUUUAUUUUGAUAUUAAAUCGAUGUGGGAUAAUACAUCCCUUAAUAGGCCCUCUCAAGAUGGUGGCUCAUUUGAGUAGACCAAUUUUGAAAUCUACGGGAUAGCUCUAAUACCAUGUUGAAGAUCUAGAGGCAACUGUCUGUUUCUUUGAUUUACAUGAUUCGAGAGAAUCUCCCAAAAAACAUAGUAACCUGUCAAGGAUCAUCUGUUUUUGGGGCACGAGGCCCAAUCAGAAUCAUGGUAUGCUAUCAACCGUAAUGAAGAUGAGGCAGAAAAUAAUAGACCCUAUCCAAGAGUUGCUUUGAUGUACUGCUGCCAAAUGAAGAUCAGUGGGAUUAGCCAUGAACUGGCUCAAGUUCUGAACACUAUAACAUAUAUAUGGUCUUAUGAUUGUAAGAUAGAGGAUCCUUCCAAUCAACCUCCUAUAAAUACUUGGAUCCUUCAAGGGUUGUCCCGUAUCUUUGCUGAGCUUUAGGUUCAGGUCCAUAGAGACUUUUACCUGAGUCAGCCAAAAUGUCCAAAACAUACUUUCUUUGGCGGAUUUGUAUGCCUUCAAUUGUCCUAGCAACUUCAAUCCCUAAAAAAUACCUUAGAGUACCUAGGUCUUUAAUCUUGAAUUUCUGGUUCAAGUUCUUGAGUUCAACAAUCGAUUCUUUAUUGUUGGUAGCUACUAUGAUAUCAUCAACAUAGACCAACAAUGUUGUAAAAGAGUCUCCAUUAUUCUUUGUAAAUAAACUGUAAUUAGCCUUGAAUUGUGUAAAACCAAAAUCAACAAAGGAAGCAAAAAAUUUGGAGUAACAUUUCCUUGAGGCCUGCGUAAGCCCAUUCAAACUCUUGACAAGUUUACACACUUGCUGUGAUCCUCCUUUGUUGUAACCUAGUGGCUUACGCAUAUAAAUUUCUUCCAGUAAAUCUCCAUGAAGAACCACAUUCUUAACAUCAAAUCGUAUUAAAAACUAGCCCUAAAUCGCUGAUAUGGAUAGUAAGCACCUUACUGUAACCAAGCAACUGGAGAAAAGUGUUAUGGUAAUCUAUCCCUUCUUGUUUUGUAUAAACCUUAACCACUAGUUGUGCUUUGUACCUCUCUAUAGUGCCAUCUGAAUGAUAUUUAAUCUUACAAACAUAUUUACAGUCAAUGGCAUUCUUUCCUGUAGACAAAUCUAUUAUGACCAAAGUUUGUUCGAUGGCAAGUAAUUUUAACUGCAUUGCUUCACACCAAUUAUGAUCUUUUAUGGCUUUCUUAUAAGUGCUAGGCUCAAGUAGGUUGCAAAUGGAAGAAGAGAAAGCCUUAAAACGAGAUGACAAAUUCUUAUAAGAAAGAAAAUGGGUUAUAGGAAAAUGUGUACUUGAGGAAAGAACUUGUGCCUUGUCCAUCGAUUGAGCUGAGAAAGCAGCUUUGGCCAGUG